rnacentral:sRNA from 1 species
AUCUCAAACCUGCAUAGCCAUGGUUGCAGAAGAAGAAGAAGAAGACUUGAAGAUUUAAGAUCUGAAAUCUGAAGCUGAAGAAGAAGAAUAAAGAGAGAGAGAAUUGUUUUGAGAUUGGUGAGAGAGUUGUUGUUUAU